GUUGGCCUCGGAUCAGGUGGGGAUACCCGCUGAACUUAAGCAUAUCAAUAAGCGGAGGAAAAGAAACCAACAGGGAUUGCCUCAGUAACGGCGAGUGAAGCGGCAACAGCUCAAAUUUGAAAUCUGGCGCAAGCCCGAGUUGUAAUUUGUAGAGGAUGUUUCGGGUGAAGCCACGGUCCAAGUCCCUUGGAACAGGACGUCAUAGAGGGUGAGAACCCCGUACCUGGCCGUCGGCUCCCCCCGCUGUGAAACUCCUUCGACGAGUCGAGUUGUUUGGGAAUGCAGCUCUAAAUUGGUGGUAAAUUCCAUCUAAAGCUAAAUACCGGCCAGAGACCGAUAGCGCACAAGUAGAGUGAUCGAAAGAUGAAAAGCACUUUGAAAAGAGAGUUAAAAAGUACGUGAAAUUGUUGAAAGGGAAGCGCUUGCGGCCAGACUUGCCCGCGGUUGCUCAGCCCGCCUUUUGGCGGGUGCACUCUUCCGCGGUCAGGCCAGCAUCGGUUUGGGCGGUCGGAUAAAGGCGUUGGGAACGUGGCCUCCCCUCGGGGAGGUGUUAUAGCCCGGCGCGCAAUGCGACCAGCCCGGACCGAGGUUCGCGCUUUGCUAGGAUGCUGGCGUAAUGGCCGUAAGCGGCCCGUCUUGAAACACGGACCAAGGAGUCUAACAUCUAUGCGAGUGUUUGGGUGUCAAACCCGUGCGCGUAAUGAAAGUGAACGGAGGUGGGAACCGCAAGGUGCACCAUCGACCGAUCCUGAUGUCUUCGGAAGGAUUUGAGUAAGAGCAUAGCUGUUGGGACCCGAAAGAUGGUGAACUAUGCGUGAAUAGGGUGAAGCCAGAGGAAACUCUGGUGGAGGCUCGCAGCGGUUCUGACGUGCAAAUCGAUCGUCAAAUUUGCGUAUAGGGGCGAAAGACUAAUCGAACCAU
rnacentral:rRNA from 1 species